AAGUACAGUUAGCAGUUAGCAGAUAUACACUAGAUAGCAGCAUGCAUAGACAAAUGGAACAAUUAGCACAGGGAUAAAUGAUAUAAAGUUUGAAGCCUUGGUUAGUGGUAUUACACAGGCAAGAGAACAUUACACAGGCCAUCUCCUCAAGUAACAUCAUCCCAGUAUACUGCACCACCAAAAACAGAUUAGCAUAACAUGCAGUAUUCAAACUCAGUUUGUAAGCUUGAGCACAAAUGCAAAAGAAAUACAAGUGACAUUAUGUUUGUGUACUUCGGUAAGAACAAUUGCAUAAGCCCAGACAACGUGCCUG
rnacentral:lncRNA from 1 species